AAAAGCUGCAGAUUUUGAUGAUGAUGAGGGGGUGGCUUGGCUUUGAAUGCUCAAUCAAGAGCAUUGCUUAUGCAGAAACUGGAUCGCUCUGGUAUUGCAACAAGCAUUACGGGAUCCCUUGGAUUAUCCCUCGUUAAUGGGUCUGCUCCAGCUCAACAGACUGUUACAUUACCUAUCAAUGGCCAGGGUGCAUAUCCGACACCAGUUCUACCACCAUCAAGUCUACUAUACCCCUUGAUCUUAUUGGACAGCUCAGUGAGUGUUGGCUG